UGACUCAACAGGUCAUUUUUUACGUUUGCUUCCAAGUAUUGCUUCACAGGCCUGUUCACUGAAGCAGCAUCGGGGAUCCAAGAUAAACAACAUGAGAGUGAAAGUAGGGAUCUCCACAUCUGGUCCGCAUGUCUUGGGUACAGAAACUGGGCAAAAGGGCUCAAACAGAGGAGGCCCAUCCGUCUGACUGUAGAGACAAUCUGUUGCAGCCGUACUGCACAUAAGAUUUUCCCAGUCACUUCUGGACCUUCAGGUCACUCAAGGGUUUGUUUCACCCUUAAGACCACCACAACCUCCUCCCAUUAAUCAUUAGAUUGUCAGUUACGGAGGCAAGCAGCAAGCCACGUCCAUUCUGCCAGCACUGAUUUAAAUCGCUUUAAUGGCCAUCCCAUGCGGUGGAACAGCUCCUCAGAGGAAACAGUGGUGGCAGAAGCGAUUGACCUACAGACCCCCGCUGUGACAGCUGUGCGUGAGAAAGGUCGACACCAUGAAGGGCAGCAGGCAUUUGAUUAAAGCUUCAUCCCUGUUUGUAGAAACAUGAAUAAUUCCAGGAAGAGUGCAAGAAGACUUGCACUGUGUUGAAAAAAAAAAGAAAAGAAGGAUCCCAGGGCCUGGACUCUUGGUCCAAGGGGGGAAAGCUGCACACAUAAAUCCCUGCCUGCCUUUCUCUCCAGCUUGCAGCACAAGGAUACACUUUCUCUCCACUGAGGAUCACAUUUAUCAAAGCAAUGUGUGGUCACUACAUUGAAACCACACGUGUAUACAAGCAUGGGUGGCCCCUGUGGGAAUUGAAACCUUAACCCUUUCUUUUUAUGUUGGUCUGCUGGCAGGAUUUAUCAGAACACAGGGGCACUCUGAAAUCUUUGGCUCAUGUGGAACCCGGGCUGGUGAAAGAAAAGAUUCAGAUUAGUCUUGAGUGGCUGAAUGAAGCAAAAACUGCAGGUCUUUAAAUGGCCACUUGUGGCUGGCUACAAAAAAAAUUGUUUCAAGAUGAUCCCUACCUAACCCCUUUGCCCUGUUUUUAAUGCCUUAACCUUAAUCAGUCACAACAAACCUUACCACAGGCAAAAUAUGAAACUUAACACCAGGUGAAAAGCAAACUGCUUAUGGUGUCGGGAGACUUGAACCUCAGACUCCUGAGUCAAAGUCAAUAGAUAACUGUAAC
rnacentral:lncRNA from 1 species